ACACUCCUACGGGAGGCAGCAGUGGGGAAUUUUGGACAAUGGGCGAAAGCCUGAUCCAGCCAUGCCGCGUGCAGGAUGAAGGCCUUCGGGUUGUAAACUGCUUUUGUACGGAACGAAACGGCCUUUUCUAAUAAAGAGGGCUAAUGACGGUACCGUAAGAAUAAGCACCGGCUAACUACGUGCCAGCAGCCGCGGUAAUACGUAGGGUGCAAGCGUUAAUCGGAAUUACUGGGCGUAAAGCGUGCGCAGGCGGUUAUGUAAGACAGUUGUGAAAUCCCCGGGCUCAACCUGGGAACUGCAUCUGUGACUGCAUAGCUAGAGUACAGUAGAGGGGGAUGGAAUUCCGCGUGUAGCAGUGAAAUGCGUAGAUAUGCGGAGGAACACCGAUGGCGAAGGCAAUCCCCUGGACCUGUACUGACGCUCAUGCACGAAAGCGUGGGGAGCAAACAGGAUUAGAUACCCUGGUAGUCCCAU
rnacentral:rRNA from 1 species